rnacentral:lncRNA from 1 species
AUGUUCAGUUUUCCAAUUAAAAAACCAUGGACAACAACCACGCUGCAUUUUGGUCCUCCUCUCCUUCAACGGAAGAAUCCCGUUACAGAAUCACCCCCCACAACAGGACCAAGCGGCGUGGUGACAGGCAGCGGCAGCAGGAGCAGCGUGAGGAGUACUGGACAUGGGAGGAUGAGUUGGAUGGAAAAGGACCCUGGGCACAGCCUGGAGAAUAUCGCCGCCCCAAAGAAGAGCUGGAGGCGGCGAAGGCGGAGAGGUGCUGGUAUGAGGAGGCAGCACGGCGGCGUGGAUGGAAGCCCGAGAGUCAGCCCCAAAAAUGUAUUGGAGCCAGGUAGGAGACCUGCGCCAACUUCCUGUGCUUACCGGGGGGCUAGAGAGACCGGGCAGGCACCGUGUUAUGCUGUGAAGCGCACGGUGUCCCCAGUGCGGGUGCAUAGCCCGGUGCUGUACAUACCAGCUCCGCGUAUCGGCCGGGCUAGAGUGGGCAUCGAGCCAAGUGCCAUGAAGCCGGCUCUACGCAUCUGGUCUCCAGUGCGUCUCCUUGGGCCGGCUUACAUGGCACCAGCCUUGCACAUGGUGUCCCCGGUUCGCCUGCAUAGCCCAGUGCAGGCUAUUCCACCUCGCCGCACUGGCAGGGUGACUGGGAGCAUUCAACCAGGUAGGGUUGGGCAGGCUCGGUGCUCAAGAGCUCCAGUGCGCCUGCACGGUCCGGUCUAUCCGUCACCACCUCCACGCACCAGCCCUCCGGUGGCAGCCCCCCGCACCAGGCUGUCUCUCCGUCUCAUCCCCACAGGUGCUCCCGCCUGUCCAGCACUGCCGGAGCCUUCCUCCUCGCCAGCGCUGCCGGAGUCUCCCGCCUGUUCAGCGCUGCCGGAGCCUUCCUCCUCUACAGCGCUGCCGGAGUCUCCCGCCUGUUCAGCGCUGCCAGAGUCUCCCGCCUGUCCAGCGCUGCAAGGAGCUGCCAGUCUGCAAGGAGCUGCCAGUCUGCAAGGAGCUGCAAGGAGCUGCCAGUCUGCAAGGAGCUGCCAGAGCUGCCAGUCUGCAAGGAGCUGCCAGAGCUGCCAGUCUGCAAGGAGCUGCCAGAGCUGCCAGUCUGCAAGGAGCUGCCAGAGCUGCCAGUCUGCAAGGAGCUGCCAGAGCUGCCAGUCUGCAAGGAGCUGCCAGAGCUGCCAGUCUGCAAGGAGCUGCCAGAGCUGCCAGUCUGCAAGGAGCUGCCAGAGCUGGCAGUCUGCAAGGAGCUGCCAGAGCUGCCAGUCUGCAAGGAGCUGCCAGUCUGCAAGGAGCUGCCAGAGCUGCCAGUCUGCAUGGAGCAGCCAGAGCUGCCAGUAUGCAAGGAGC